CCUGGGCCUAUUUAUCUAUGUAUUUUUAACAACUUUUCACUAAGGACGAAUGGGUGUAAAUGGUUGGUUGUUCUCCCUGCAUUGAUGUUUGCGUUACCGGUACACUUGCCUAGAGCAUAUUAACAAAGGAUGAGCUGCCUAACACUGCAUCAAAUGACUGCAUCUCACUUAGCAAGAUAUGUGUAUAAGGUGACAUAUGUUGGCCUUCUGCAAAAUUUGCCAAGACAACAUGUUUCCACAGCCUCGUUUGCACAUUAUAUUUCAAUCCAUAAACGACAUUUGAGCAGCAAUGACAACGGGGCUUCUCGCAUUGUGAGGAGCCGUUAUUCACUAUGGAAACCAGACAAUAUCCCGAAGGAAUUUAAACUUGCUUAUGUGAAGAAAGCAGUUAAUGACACAAAAAUAGCAGCCUUGGCAUAUGUUUGGCAUAUCAAUCUUGCUGUUAUAAUUUUAGUGGCUGUAAUGGUGUGCAAAGCAUGGAUGGCUGAAAUUAUGCUAGGAGAAGAAUCAACAGAUGAAAAUGAACCCUUCAAAAUUACAUCAGCAGAUUUAGUUUUAAAUACAUUUGCUGUAGCCUGUGCUGCUACUUUUUUAUUUUUCGUAUACAGAAAGUUUAUUAAGAGUAACAUUGUACGAAUGUAUUGUCAUAUACAGUCAAAAACCUUUGUUAUGGUACAGGUGAAAAAUGGUCUUGCUAAGGAGAACAUCCCCUUUACUGCAAAGCAUGUACACCUUGUGAAAGAAGUUGUUCCGACAAAGGCUGGGGAAUCGAAAUACAUGAUUUUGCAAAUAAUGGGACAUGCACUUAAAGUAAAUGAAAAGGAAUUUACAGAUGAACAAUAUUACCACAUUCUAAAAGGAAAAUAGUUAUUGGAAUAUACAUGUUAUUUGUACAUGAGAUGAUAACAUAACUCGAGAUCAAUAAAUUUGAAAUGGUAACUUAUUGUUUCUGCUCUUUAUCUUAAAGCUCAAGAACUAAACUAUUGUGAAUGAAUUUUUAAUUGACAUUUUCUCGAAUGAUCAUCAUCAUAUUUCCCUUGAUCAGUUCGGCUAUUGGGAGGAAAUGAGGGACGACAAUACAGAAAUCCUCAAGUCCGGUUUAUUGUGUACUGUUGAGAGUAAUUCAUCCAUGGGUCAUCCAUGGGUUCAACCAUCGGAAGGUUAGUCCACUCUUUUACAUUGACCAUCCAACUUUUUUUCUGGCGACCUCUAUGUCCGCUUCCCUCUAGCGUGCCCUGGAGAACAGUCUUAGACAGAAAGUUGAACCUUGUAACGUGUCAAAACCAAGCCAGCUUUCGUCGUUUGACGGUCGCCAAUAGAGGCUCUUGUGGACCUACAAGUUUUGCAGACAUGUUCCGGACGUACUCGUUGGUCUUGUGCUCUGUGUAGGAGAUUCGGAGCUGUCUUCAGAGACAUUUAUGUUGUGUAUCCUGCGUUUUGUGUCGACAUGAAGCGUUUAGGUUUUGCCGCUGCAGAGGAGGAUAGCGACUACGAACUGCUUGUCCACAACCUGCUCAGUCUGGACAUCGCUGUGUUCACCUUGGCAUUUCUUAUUUAGACAUCAGGAGUACUGGUACCAUCCUUGGACAGGGUUGCGCCUAAGUACUUGAAGCUGAUCACUCCUAGCUGUUCACCGUUAAUUGUGAUGUAUGCACUGGUGAUGGUCGUGCUGUUCACCAUGAUCUUUAUCUUGUCCGUGCUGACCUCAAUCUGGUAUGCUCCUGCUCUUUCAUAGAUGAAGAUAGAGCUGUGGUAGUCAUGGAGAGUCUCCUGCAGUAUCUACUCAUGAAAAAGAUUGAACAGGACAGUAGAGAGAAUACAUCCCUGACAUUCUGCAGUUUAAUAUCUGUUCCACUUUGCUCCGCCCAGCCAUAAAUCCAGCCUGUUCUUCGUCCUGCAGUUUCUCAGCCCUACUUUUCAAUCGAUUAAGGAUGAUGCGUUACAUGACUUUGCUUGGAUGACUGAUAAGGCUGAUAAGGGUUAUUCUCGCACAACUUGAGAUUGCCCAUUUUAGGUAGGGUUAUAACCGGUGACUGUGUCCGCUCCUUGGGCCUCUUUCUUUUUCAGCUCGGAAGGAACGUUGUUCACUCCUGGUGAUUUGGUUGCUUAAAGACUACGCACCGCCUCCUUCCCCUCUACUUUAAGUAUGGACGGACUUUCGUCGUCCGCUUUUGGUGUGGGAUCGUUCGAAGGAGAAUGAAGUCUGGCUGUAGCGGGAAGUGCUAGAGGUCACUGCAGUAUUCAGUCCACCAGUUCAGGACUGUGGCACUCUCUGUAAGGAGAUUCCUGUCAGCGUCUGAUAUCACACUGGCUUUAGACUGGCUGAAUGGUCUUCGUGAGGGUCUUGAGGAUGCUGUAGGCCUUCUUACUGCUGCCUGUGGUCAUCUGUUUGUCGACGAUGAUACAUUUUUCCUCAAUCCAUACCUCAUUGGUCUCUUUCAUCUUCUUCCUUAACUCCCUGUUCGCUUUCUGGUAAUUUUCCCUAGAGUCCAGGCAGGUGUACUUAUCAUUAAUCAGCUCACUUCUUUUGUCAUAUAGGUCAAUGAUUUUGGUUGUCACCCAGGACUUGCUCUUUCUUCUUUCUCCCAACACGUCUUCGGUCGAUUACAGUAUGACAACCUUGAUGUUGUUGGUAAUGGCAUCAAUAUAAUUGUCUAAGAUGUUAAGGGCUCUGCAAACUUGCCGUAAAUUCCGCGAAUACGUGAACAUGUUGAUUAACUGCAGAGGUUACACAAGCUGCUGCAUAUACGAGGGGUGACACAGUUAUACUUAGACUUAUAUAUUAUUUAAUUUUGGACAAAAUGAUUAUCUUGACAAUGACUUAUCAUGUUUAUAUUCGGGUCAAAUGGGGCCUAAAACUAGAUCUCCGGGGCAAUUAUAGAAAACCUUAUACAAGCGGUGUUUUUCUUGUUUGUUAUUUUAUUAGGGUAACACUAAGUAGUCUGAAUAUUUGCCUUGACCAUGCUAUCUAUUCCAGGUUUUAAACUAUUUCACGUGACGUCAAGAACGAGUUCUAACAUGUCGAAAUUGUGAAGUGUCAUACCUUUGUUUAAUCUUUUUGCACGUGGAAAUGAAGAAACUUGAUUUUAUUUCAAUUUGAUCAAUCUAGGUGGGUUCUUACACCAGAUUGUUUUUUAAUUCAAAUAACAAUAUGACUGCUAUGGAUAUUGAGUAGCGCAACCGGCUAAUAAUCAUUUUACAGGACAUUCGAUCAUUUAGACGUUACACCAUAUCCACGUGCAUACAGAUGAAACCAUAACAAACCCACGUGCUUAAGCGCCAGAUCGUCAUAGAUCAAUUAUUUUAUCGUGACCUUGAACAUAAUGUAGUCAAAGGAUCACAGGUGCAAUUUUAGCUCUAUAAUCAUGGCCGAGAUGUUCCUUUUUACAUUUGUUGAGAGGUACAUAACCGUUGCCUGUUGGGUUUAUGAGACCGUUUUGAGUAAGGUACGUUCUGUUAAUCGUACAUCCGGUCGGCAAGAGUCCUUCACAGUAAAUACAUGUUGUCCGUGUCGCAUUUUUUAAAAUUAUUAGUCUAAUUAUUGCAAAGGUAUAUGUUAGACGAUACCGUGUUAUAAUAUUACUGAUGCAACAAUAAAAAACGACAUUUUCAAAUACGCCUGUGUGGUCGUAAAGAAUGAUUCAACUAGCGAAGCUUCAACAGACCUGUCUACUCUCAAAUGUGACAAAAUAUUUGCACACAAGCUCUGCAGUAGUUCACCGACAGACGUGGACGGUCUCUCAUAGGUGUGUUCCAUCACAGACUAGAGGUGUAUGGAAGAUCUCUCCAUGGUGUGUUCCAUCACAGACUAGAGGUGUGACUUUCAAGACGGGCCUGGAGAGCUCCUUCAAAUCACAGCACAAACGAGACGGAGUCUCCAAAGACUUUGUCCUAGUAUUCUCUAAGACUAACCAAAACUAUUACACAAUUGGAAUACCGUGUGUAUGGAUUCUAGGUGGGGUUUUCCUCGCUGGCGCUGGAUAUGCAAUUCAGAAUAUCCUUGAUACUGACCCUAUCCAACGAGAAAGUGUUUCCAUUAAUAAUAGUGGACCAAUUGACCCUCUGGAAACUAUAUGUGUGUUCUCUGUUUUUACUCUUACAUUUUUGGUUGGUUUGGCAAAAAUUUCUAAGAGCAUGGUGUUGCGGAUGUACUACAAGGAAGACAUAAAUAAGUUCAUCGCUGUUGUGUUGCGAUAUGGUAUUUUUCGCAGAAAAAUAAACUUCAGUCCAGCAGAGAUAAAACAUAAGAAACUACAGAAAUUUAGUGGGAUAUAUGAAGUGAAGGGACAACAAUUUAAUGCUCUGCAAAAUGAAUUUUUAAAUGUUAGGUAUUUCAAUAUAUUUACUGGAGUUAUUGUUCAAGAUCAGUCACAUUAUAGAAACACCUCUGGAAACAAAGUUAUGAAAAGCUGAUAAUUCUAAAUGAAUUUCAUUACCGUACGUUGUUAAUUUUAAUGACCAAAUAUUGUUGUUACUAUUAACCAAAUAAUAGUUUUGUCAAUUAAAUUGUCUUAUAUUUCAUGUGAGAUUUAAAGCAUAACUUGAUUCAGGUUAUUAUUAAGAUACAUGUAUAUUUCUGAAAAAGCAUAGAUUUUUAAAUAUUGAAGAAAGCAA